rnacentral:rRNA from 1 species
GACGAACGCUGGCGGCGCGCCUAACACAUGCAAGUCGAACGAGCGAGAGAGAGCUUGCUUUCUCGAGCGAGUGGCGAACGGGUGAGUAACGCGUGAGGAACCUGCCUCAAAGAGGGGGACAACAGUUGGAAACGACUGCUAAUACCGCAUAAGCCCACGGGUCGGCAUCGACCAGAGGGAAAAGGAGCAAUCCGCUUUGAGAUGGCCUCGCGUCCGAUUAGCUAGUUGGUGAGGUAACGGCCCACCAAGGCAACGAUCGGUAGCCGGACUGAGAGGUUGAACGGCCACAUUGGGACUGAGACACGGCCCAGACUCCUACGGGAGGCAGCAGUGGGGAAUAUUGCACAAGGGGGGAAACCCUGAUGCAGCGACGCCGCGUGGAGGAAGAAGGUCUUCGGAUUGUAAACUCCUGUUGUUGGGGAAGAUAAUGACGGUACCCAACAAGGAAGUGACGGCUAACUACGUG